GACUCUUUGGCGUAAUGGCAGCGCGUCGCCACGGAAUGUACCAUUCCGCGUCUAGUCCGGCGAGGGUGCCGGUUCGAAUCCGGCUGGGGUCA